rnacentral:rRNA from 1 species
CCUACGGGAGGCAGCAGUAACGAAUCUUCCGCAAUGGGCGCAAGCCUGACGGAGCAAUGCCGCGUGUAGGAUGAAGCGUCUCUGACGUGUAAACUACUGUCAGGGGUUGGAAACAAUGAUCGACCCCAAAGGAAGUGGCGACUAACUCUGUGCCAGCAGUCGCGGUAAUACAGAGGCCACAAGCGUUAGUCGGAAUCACUGGGCUUAAAGGGUGCGUAGGCGGGUCUGCAAGCGUCUUGUGAAAUACCCCGGCUCAACCGGGGAACAGCAGGGCGAACUGCGGAUCUUGAGGCAUGUAGGGGCUGCGAGAACAGUAGGUGGAGCGGUGAAAUGCGUAGAUAUCUACUGGAAUGCCGAUGGUGAAGACGCGCAGCUGGGCAUGUCCUGACGCUGAGGCACGAAAGCGUGGGGAGCAAACAGGAUUAGAUACCCUGGUAGUCCACGCCGUAAACGAUGUAUGCUGGACCGGUGCGGUUUUGACGCCGUAUCGGUCGUAGGAAAACCGUUAAGCAUACCGCCUGGGGAGUACGGUCGCAAGGCUAAAACUCAAAUGAAUUGACGG